GAGCCAGGGGAUGGGUUAGGGUCCAGGCUCUGGGGCAGAUAGACAACAUUCCUCCAGCUACCCAGAUCUGGGAAUUGUGUUCGAGCCCUAACAGCAGUUGACAGAAGCCCCUCCCUUCCCAGGAAUGCCUCGGCCCAGCCGAAGGAGCUUUGCCACGUCAGCCAAUCGGCUCAAGCCCUGCCUUGGAAACACCUGUUGAUCCCCCUCCCCCCCCACACACACACCCGAGAGGCUCACCUGGACGCAGGUUAGGCAGGUGAAGCGCCUCCCCGGAAACGAAGCUGGAGCGCCCCACCUGCCUGGCCCAGCCCGCUCUGGUCGGAUCCAGCACUUCCAGGUUUCUUCCCUCCCCCCAGGAGCCAGUGGUGACAGCUGAGGCCAUGUGAGUCGGAUCCUGAAUGAGGCUUUAUCUCUGCUCUUGGUCCCAUCAUCCACUGUGGCACCAGUUCCUUCGCCAGCCGGGAUGGGACAGGCAACUGAGAGAGCCCGGAGAGGUGAUGGUGGCCAUACCCUGGACUGGGAGAGGAACAGGACUCUGGGCCUCUAGCUGCCGAGCUGGUGGGUGGGGCUCUAGGCCAUGACCCGCACCCUCUGACCCCUGAUACUGACCUCUG
rnacentral:lncRNA from 1 species